rnacentral:rRNA from 1 species
UACGUAGGUGGCAAGCGUUGUCCGGAUUUAUUGGGUUUAAAGGGUGCGUAGGCGGCCCUGUAAGUCAGUGCUGAAAUAUCCCGGCUUAACCGGGAGGGUGGCAUUGAUACUGCAGGGCUUGAGUGAAGUCGAGGUAGGCGGAAUUGACGGUGUAGCGGUGAAAUGCUUAGAUAUCGUCAAGAACACCGAUAGUGAAGACAGCUUACUAGACUUCAACUGACGCUGAGGCACGAAAAGUGUGGGGGAUCAAAACAGG